rnacentral:rRNA from 1 species
CCUACGGGUGGCUGCAGUGAGGAAUAUUGGUCAAUGGGCGCGAGCCUGAACCAGCCAAGCAGCGUGAAGGAUGACUGCCCUACGGGUUGUAAACUUCUUUUAUAAAGGAAUAAAGUGAGGCACGUGGGCCUUUCUGUAUGUACUUUGUGAAUAAGGAUCGGCUAACUCCGUGCCAGCAGCCGCGGUAAUACGGAGGAUCCGAGGGUUAUCCGGAUUUAUUGGGUUUAAAGGGAGCGUAGAUGGGUUGUUAAGUCAGUUGUGAACGUUUGCGGCUCAACCGUAAAAGUGCAAUUGAUACUGGCAGUCUUGAGUGCAGUUGAGGUAGGCGGAAUUCGUGGUGUAGCGGUGAAAUGCUUAGAUAUCACGAAGAACUCCGAUUGCGAAGGCAGCUUACUAAACUGCCACUGACAUUGAUGCUCGAAAGUGUGGGUAUCAAACAGGAUUAGAUACCCCUGUAGUC